rnacentral:lncRNA from 1 species
AAAAAAAAAGGCAGAUGACAUAGGGCCUUGUGGGCCUUGGUGAGGAGUUUGGGUUUUAUUCUCAAUGCAAAACAAAGCCACUGAAGCAUUCUCAGCCGUGAGGAUCUAGUAUGCUUUGAAAGAAAAAUAAAUAUUUUUUGACUUUAUGUGUUGUAUAAAUGGAAGGGGAAGAAGUAUGGAAAGAAUUUAAACUCUCAGUUGGAAGCAUAUUGCAGGGAAUAGAUUUCAAAAAGACAGAAUGAAAAGAAGAAAAAAUAUUUGAGAUAUACAAACACACAUACAUAUAUAUGUAUAUACAUUUGCGGUUGGGCAGAAGAUACACACUUCAGAUUAAUUCUCUUUUGGUCCUCUAAAUUUUAACAUUGAGAAACAUUACUGUUUCCUUAGUUCUUAAAAAUUUUCCAUAACAAUUUGCUUUGCUAACAAAAACCAAAGAAAUAAAAAUCCCUAUUAUCUAACUUCUGUUGCAAUUAUUAUGCCUAUUCCUUCAUUUUUCCUCUUAAUGAAAAGGGGAACAGCUGCUUACUAUCAUCCAUAUUCUUUUCAUAAACUUGAAGUCUGUUAUUAAGCAGUCCAUAAGUUUGUGAUGUCUAAUUCACAUGUCAUCAUCCAAAUUGACUACUUGAAGUCAAAAGCACUGAAAGGGACUUAGUCAUUUAAAUGACCAAAAUAACCUGGCAAUUAUCCAUUAUCAAACCUAAACAACGAACAUCAUAUUAUGAAAGAAAUUGAAUCAGUAAAAAAUACCAGCAAGCAACUUGAAUGCUUUUAAAAAUUUGACUACAAAAGUCAUUAUGUUGUGCACCAGUUGACAAGAGACGACACUUUCGUGUUCUUGCCAAACAAAAACGAAAACAAAAAAUUAUAGGAGCCUGUUCUAAGUACUGGGGUAACAACCCUAGACACUGUCUUUGGCUUCACAGAGAUAACAGGCCAGAUGGGCAUUGAGACAAGUGAACAGGCAGAUGGAAAACAGCAUGGUGAGUAAUACAGAUGGUGGGAAGAACAGGGUACUAUGGCAUCUGCUGUGGAAAGAAGAUAGAUCUAGGUGAUGGUUAAGUCUAAGACAAAGGAGGAGUAAAAUCAUCAAGGAAAGCAGGAGAGAGGGAAGGAAGUGGAAAGCAGACAAAAAAAAAAAAAAAACAACAGCAGCUGUAGAAGCCUGAGAAGAUGAGAGAGUCAAGUCCUUAGAGGGACUGAAAGCAGAGACAUAACGGCACAAAACGAGAUGGGAAAGUGACGGAGCAAUACAUGAGUCUGUAAUGAGUGGGAUUUAGGUGGGCAGCAGCACUUGGUUAUUUACAAGUUCAGGAUCCUGUUUAUAAAGCAAGGAAAGAUUGCUAUCUGUCUCCAGCACUAUGGCGAGAUAAUUAAUAGGAGCACUGCUGGAGACUGAUAGUGCAGGCGGCCGAUACCCAUGGCAGGAGCUCUCGUCAUCUAACUGCCACAGAAUUGUGAAGGUAAAGAAUCUGCAGAAAAGUGGAACAUUCAUUUUUACUAAAUAAAUGCAUUAUCUAUAGCACA